AUCUUUUUGGUGGGUUUUAUAUUGUUGCUUGAGGUUAUUUUUAUCUAAGCUUUAAUAAUGAUAUCCAUGUGAUUUAUGAGCAUUGGAAGUGAUAUUUAUGUGUUUUUAUGUAUGGGUUUUGUAUUGGUGGAAUUAUUUGUUGAGUAGGUAUAUAAUUUGUGCUAAUGAUGACUACUUAAGGUUUAUGUAUGGUGGGAAAUUUAUGGGUUUAAGUUAUAACAUAUGAUGAUUGGUAAAUCUAAUUUUCCAUUGCCAUUGGGUUUAUUUGGAGUUAGUUGAAGUUUUAAAUUUCUUGUCUUGGAGGAUAUUUUGAUUUUGUUUUCAUGGGUCUCUUAAUGAUGUAGUGUAAAUUUUAUGGAAGCUAGUCAUGAUGUUAGAGAUGAUAUUGAAUGAGUUAAAUUUAUAAAUUGGAGUCUAUGCCUUGUGAAUUAAUUUGUUGAGAAACUUUGGAAGAGGAAUGUGUUAUUGAUGAGGUUAAAUAUUAGGCUUGCCUAAUUAAGUGCUUAUUUGGCAAUUCCUAAAUUGUAACUAGAUACAUUUUAAGCUUUAUGCUUAUUGUGUUAGGUUUGCUUGAUGUUGUUGAGGUUCUAGCUAAUCUCCUUUGGAGCUUGGAGAAUUAGGCUUUUGUAUUUGCGAGUAGUCUUUGUGACAACGGAAUCAAAUCUAGGUCAGUGCCCUUUCACUUUGGAUGACGCGUUCUUCCCUGCUGUCCAUGGGGGGAAGAGGUUCCUUGAUUGUGUGUGGGUGAGGCUGCUGCCCAUGGGGCCAAGAGACCACAUGCAAGAGAGGUCCUAUUUGACGCGCUCUCUCUGCUGCCCAUGGGAGGAGAGAAAAGCCUUGAGGAUAUGGGUGAGGCUGCUGUCCAUGGGGCCAAGAGUCUGCAUACCAAAGAAGACAAUAUCAUGCCAGUUGUGAAUGGGUGGAUCCUCUGACCGGUCUAUGUGGGAGUAUGGUAUAUUUGUGAUGAAAUUACCGUAUGUUAGAUUUUAUGGCUUUAGAAAUUAUAUUGUAAGUGCUCACAGAUUAUAAUAUAUAGUUUCAUGGUAUUAUUUUGAGAAACUUUGUGUUUCAUUAUUCAAUCAUUUUUGUCAUUUCAUAUUAUUAUUAUUGAAGAUGAACUUGCAUUUCCCCCACCCCUAUUAAUUAUGCUACUUACUGGGUUUUAGCUCAUCCCAAUCUUUCACAGUCUUACAGAUUAAUUAGCUAUAUCAUGGGAACGGAGCUUGCCUUAUCAGUAGUGAUUGGAGUUUUAUGCUGAAUUGGGAGACUUACAUUACUAAUGGUUGGUGAUUCAAUCUAGUUGUUUUUAAGGGUGCUUGCAAUAGUUAAUUUUAUUAGAAGUUGGGCUCUUGAGGCUUGUUAGCCCAAGAGUUUUGUUGGGAUUGCAUAUUUUAGAUAGCUUUGGGACUUUCUAUUUAAAGCAUCAGAGUUUUGUAAUAUAUUUAUGUAUUAUGUGGAGGCACAUGAUUUUUAGUUAUUGUUCGUAAAUGUGUUAUAGAGCUCUGACUUACUUUAAGAGUAUAUUCAACGAAAUUAUUAUGAUAAUUCUUGAUCUUGGUA